AGGGAAUGAAGAGGAGGCCCACCCAGCAGGGUCAGGGGAGGAGCCCAGGAGUUGGUGUUUUAACUGUAUUUGCCAUAGCGAGAGGGGCUGUGUUUUCAAGAAAUCGGGUGAAGAGAAGAAGCGAGUCAUGGAAGAUGACUGUGGUUAUACACAGGGGGUGACCAGGCAGCAGACAGAAAUGAUCGAUGGAGGAAACCAUGUCCCCACACCUCAUCCUCUCACAGACGGGACCGGGGAUUGCCUGAGAGGAGAGUGUCCUGGAGUCUGAGAGUCUGGGAGCUGGACACAAAAGAAGACAAGGUGAGUGAAAAAUACAGAAAUGUUUCGGCAAAGACUAACAAAGCGGAGGUGAUGUAUGUCAGAGAUUUUAUUUCUUUGGAAAGUGUGAGGCCCUCCGUUCAUCCACAGAGAGUCCAGGCCUGGGAACCUCAGAACUGAGAAAAACGUGGAAUAAGCAGAUUGGGGAAUGUGACCGGCAGUCGAUUCCCAAGUUUGCCUUCAGAGAAAAACAUUACACAAAACAAAAACAAGACGAGAAGCAAAAAAACCACUGCACGAUUUAGUGGAUGAGGGCAGCUAUCCUGGAGACCUUGUCUGUCACUAGCUGUGUGGCACUAAACAAGUCACCCAGACCUCUGGCUCAGUUGCCCCCAUCUCUGCAACGAUACUCAAGAACAAAUAAAUGACUCUCCAGAGAACCUGUGGACAAACGGCUAUUGGAUCAACUUCCUCCGGCCUCAAGGACGCACACCAGGUAAACUGAACCCCUGUAUUUCUAAUAAGUUGAGCCAAAUGUCAAAGACUGCAUAACCUCCAAGCUGAACCCCUGGAAAAAUAACACCUCUUGGGUGAAGAAGGUUGAUAUGCAGAAAAUUGUCGGAAACAGCAACUCCCAACCACCUAUGGAAAGACUAAACUCAUCUCAUAGAUUCACAGCAUCUUCAGGCUGAAAGCUAUUAAACUCCUGGUGCAACAAAUGAGCCUGGAAGUCACAUGUAUGGCCAGGCAGUGGCAAAGGCCAAACUAGACCUCAUGUCACAUCACAGCUAGUCAAUAAUGAUUUCAACCAAAAAGAAAUUACUGUCUGGAGAAAACAGAAAUAAAAUAAAAUCCACUCUCAGAUGGAGGAUAAUAUGAGAAAAAGAAUGUAUAUAAAUGUAUAACUGGGUCACUUUGCUGUAUAGCGGAAAUUGAUAGAACAUUGAUCACAAAUAUGAUCCCUGUUGGUGGAGGAGUCUAAGAAGAAGCCAGUCAAAUACAGAUGCUUGUUCCCCAAAUGGUCACAAAUGCUGAGUUCUUACUGGAAGCUACAGAUGACAUCAGCUAAUGAUUUGCCAGAUAUUUUCAAGCAAGCUCCACAGCUACAAAGAAGGGAUGAUAAAUUGUAAAAAAUCAAGAUUCUGUGCAGGUGUCCUUCUUCAUAGCUACAUGCAAAACAGAUAUUAACUUAAAAAAUAAAAGAUGAGAGUGUUGUGAUUGAGGAAA